UUCUUAAUAUAGUCUCAGGGCACCUGAUGAGCGUGGGCUUCCUCCAACAGGGAAGUCUCAGGGCACCUGAUAUGGAGGUAUAGGUAACUGGAGUGAGUGUCCUACUGGGCAAGGGAGCAUCUGCAUUUCCUUUAGGGACUCACCUUAGGAGUCAGGGAGUACCACUCCUGUAUAUUCCACCAGUUGAAAUAGCUAUCAGAGUGCACCCACAUUCAAGGAAAGAAAUUGAUGCUACCUCUUGGUGGGUAGUUGCAAGAUUCGAGAAAAGCACCUGAGAUAGAAGAUAAAGCAACUGAAGCCCAGAGAGGCUAAACAACUUGCCCAGAGUCACACAGCUGGUGUGUGGUAGGAUUGGGAUUCCAACCCAGUGAUGCUGCCUGUUUAAUCACCACAGGGGAUCCACUCCUCAAGUCUUAGAAGAUUGUUUGUGAGGAAUGCAGAAGAAUAUGUAGGGCAAACAGUUAAUUCAGUGCCAGGCACACAGUAAACUCUAAAUGUUCAUUGUUCGUAUCUUCCUUUACUCAUUAGUUUCUCACGUCAUAAAUGAUUUGAUCAAGAAGAUGUUUCCACUUGAUACUGAAGCAAUCGAGAAUGCAAGACUAUCCCCAGACCAGCUGAUGUUUACGAGGUCCCUGGGACUCCCGAGCAGUGAUGUCAACCUUGGGCUGUGUCAAGGGGCGAGGGAGGGGACCGCAGCUCAGCAUCUGCCCUUGGCCAUCGGGUGGCUCUGAGGCAGUCACCGAUGGCCAAUGCCCGGCGGAGGCUUGACACGUGGAGGGAAGCCUGGAGAUCUGAAUUGGCCAUUUGUAUGGGGCUUUGGAGGCUUUGGUGGAGCCUUAACAUCUCCAUGGUCUUUUUCUCAGACUUUCAUUUAAAGGGUGUUUGUAUUUUAUAAGCCCCGGGGAAAGCGGAGGAGAACCCGGGCCAGGAGCACCGAUGCUUUGGGAUUAGAGGGUCUAAAGUCGGGGAGGGUGGAGGAGGUAAUUUGGAAGGAGAUGCGUUCAUCUAAUUUUGAUAGGAAUGGCCACCGCCCCAUAAUCCCUUCCCUGUUUGCCUGGAUGGACGGAGAGAUGUCAGGUGGACUCUGCAUUCCUUGUCUGCAGGGCAGCAUGAUGAACCAGGCUUCAUGGACAGGAUUCAGGGAGUCCGUGAACCCCGUGGAUUGAAUAUUCAGCCUCGUGAGUGAACGUGUGUGUGUUUACAGGUAUCUUCCUAAGGAUAGAUUCUCAGUUUUUAUCAAACCCUGAAAACAUUCUGUCACUUAAGAUGGAAAAAGGAUCAGGAAGUCAGGGAGAGGAGAUGACAAGAGGGUCAGGGAGAGGAGAUGACAGGGGAGAGACACCAAGUGAGAGAGAAUAUCAUUUCACAACAGUUAUACAAGAUGUUGCUAGGAAACCAUUCAUUGGCUUUGUGAAUUAUAAACAUUUUCUUCUUAAUCCAAAAUAAAUAGCUGUUAUAUCAGUCUCA